rnacentral:rRNA from 1 species
GAUGAACGCUAGCUACAGGCUUAACACAUGCAAGUCGCGGGGCAGCAUGGGGGUUGCUUGCAAUCCCCGAUGGCGACCGGCGCACGGGUGAGUAACGCGUAUCCAACCUGCCCUUCACCACGGGAUAACCCGGCGAAAGUCGGACUAAUACCGUAUGUUGUCCAUUGACGGCAUCCGAUUUGGACGAAAGGUUUGGCGGUGAAGGAUGGGGAUGCGUCCGAUUAGCUGGACGGCGGGGUGACGGCCCACCGUGGCGACGAUCGGUAGGGGUUCUGAGAGGAAGGUCCCCCACACUGGAACUGAGACACGGUCCAGACUCCUACGGGAGGCAGCAGUGAGGAAUAUUGGUCAAUGGGCGUAAGCCUGAACCAGCCAAGUAGCGUGCAGGAUGACGGCCCUAUGGGUUGUAAACUGCUUUUAUGCGGGGAUAAAGUGGCCCACGUGUGGGUUUUUGCAGGUACUGCAUGAAUAAGAACCGGCUAAUUCCGUG